CCUGAUGCGCAUCGUAGAAGCUGACAGAUGCAUGGGGACAACAUUAGCUCGGCUGCUGGCAUAGAUCCUGAGGAGAGCUUUUGUGUAAUUUCUGCCCAUGCCCCUCGAAUUGUGCACAGCCAUGUAUAAGAGGCUUAUACAUGUCUCACUUGCCUCUUGUCAUCACUCUGAGUCUGACACAUCCACGCCUACCUCCUGGAAAGCAUUCCUGAUCUGCCAGACAGUUUUUGAUGAUAAAGACGUGUGUUCUGCUUCGAUGAAUGUGAGAUACAGUAGCAAACUGCGAAAGG